GUUACACCCAUGAUUCCAACAGUGACCGGCAAACACAGCACUAUCAGCAAUAACAAAACAAAAGGAAGAAAUUCAAGUCCGGCCAGGUUCCAGCUGCACUCAGCUGAGCUGCUGCAGCGCUGCCUGGUACCUGCAGGCUUCUGCUUCCCAAACUCCAGCUGAAGAGCCAGCUUGUACCUGACCUCUCACUGCUCCAUAAGGGUCAUACACGCAGACCAGGUGAAAGCCAGGACAGGGUGCUGGACAGCCAUGGGGACCCAGAAACCAGCAGACAUGCUAGUCCAAGCACUCAUGCAGAUACCAGCAGUAACGAGGAGAGACAGGAGCUGUUUCUGGACAGAAUCGCAGACAGCACUGGCUGAAGGCUCCUGGGAAAAUCAGGAAUAAGUACAUCACGGGAACAUCAAAAUGUCAAUUGUUCUGGAACAACUUUGUUCCAAUUCUCCAGGGAAUGCUGCCUGCAACUCCUUCAGAUUUUUCUAAGAGAGAAAAUCAGCCUUCAGCCACCCCUGGACUGAGGCCACCAUCUACUGGUUUCAGAACCACGUCCUGCAGCCCAUCAGACAGAUACAUCUCAAGGUGUGUCUGAAACAGCCUGGUGUAUUGGCACCCUGACCCGGGUCAGAAUCCACAGAUAAAAGUGUGACUCCAGGCUCCUGCCUUGGGGCUUCGGGAACAGUGAGCAGGGACCCACCCUGCUCACAUCAACUGGCCAUUCGGGUUCAUCAAGAUGAAAUUAUUUUCAUUUGCAGCCACACCCAGUGCUCCACCUGAAGAAGAGGCAUCCAGGCUGGUUUGACCCUUGGACAAAGGCUUCCUGCCCAGAGCCACGCAGCGCUCAUGUCUACAGACCGGCCAAGAACAGAACUUCCAGGGAAAGCCAGGUGGUCCUGAUUGAAGCCACAGUUGAAUGGAGAGGCCUCCAGCCUCAAAGCAUCCUCCUUCUCUACCUACUGAAGACCAGUCUACAACCAAGCUAUGCAUUAGUUUCCAGCUCAUGCACCCAGGGAUGAAGUCCAAACCAGGUGAAAUGUGAGGUUCCAAAAGGCUUAAGAACACACCGAGAAAACAGGUUGAUAACUGUUCCCUUUUCCUUUUUUAACCUCUCCUUGCAUUCAGACUCUAAGGAAAUCAGCCCCAUUAAAUUAAAGGCUGUUUUCUCA